rnacentral:tRNA from 1 species
CGGAGCGUGGCGCAGCCCGGUAGCGCACGUGCAUGGGGUGCACGGGGUCGCAGGUUCAAAUCCUGUCGCUCCGACUA